CCAGACUCCUACGGGAGGCAGCAGUGGGGGAUAUUGCACAAUGGGGGAAACCCUGAUGCAGCGACGCCGCGUGGGCGAAGAAGUAUUUCGGUAUGUAAAGCCCUAUCAGCAGGGAAGAAGAAAUGACGGUACCUGAAGAAGAAGCCCCGGCUAACUACGUGCCAGCAGCCGCGGUAAUACGUAGGGGGCAAGCGUUAUCCGGAUUUACUGGGUGUAAAGGGGGCGCAGACGGCAAUGCAAGCCAGGAGUGAAAGCCCGGGGCCCAACCCCGGGACUGCUCUUGGAACUGCAUGGCUGGAGUACAGGAGGGGCAGGCGGAAUUCCUAGUGUAGCGGUGAAAUGCGUAGAUAUUAGGAGGAACACCGGUGGCGAAGGCGGCCUGCUGGACUGUGACUGACGUUGAGGCCCGAAGGCGUGGGGAGCAAACGGGAUUAGAUACCCGAGUA
rnacentral:rRNA from 1 species